UACGAAGGGGGCUAGCGUUGCUCGGAAUCACUGGGCGUAAAGCGCACGUAGGCGGAUCUUUAAGUCAGAGGUGAAAUCCCAAGGCUCAACCUUGGAACUGCCUUUGAUACUGGGGAUCUCGAGUCCGGAAGAGGUGAGUGGAACUGCGAGUGUAGAGGUGAAAUUCGUAGAUAUUCGCAAGAACACCAGUGGCGAAGGCGGCUCACUGGGCCGGUACUGACGCUGAGGUGCGAAAGCGUGGGGAGCAAACAGG
rnacentral:rRNA from 1 species